AUUAGAAAAUCUCUUUAAAAACGAUUGUAAACCAUGCAAACCCUUUUUAAAAUACCUUGUAAAUCAUUCUAUGCCACUUACAUAUG
rnacentral:sRNA from 1 species